rnacentral:rRNA from 1 species
GACGAACGCUGGCGGCGUGCUUAACACAUGCAAGUCGAGCGGUAAGGCCCUUUCGGGGGUACGACGAGCGGCGAACGGGUGAGUAACACGUGGGUGACCUGCCCUCAGCUCUGGGAUAAGCCUGGGAAACCGGGUCUAAUACUGGAUAUGACUCCAUGACGCAUGUUGUGGGGUGGAAAGCCUUGUGCGGCUGAGGAUGGGCCCGCGGCCUAUCAGCUUGUUGGGUGGGGUGANGGGCCUACCAAGGCGACGACGGGUAGCCGGCCUGAGAGGGCGACCGGCCACA